rnacentral:rRNA from 1 species
GCCCAAGAGAUCGGGAUAACACCUGGAAACAAGAUGCUAAUACCGGAUAACAACAGAUGAUGCCUAUCAACUGUUUAAAAGAUGGUUCUGCUAUCACUCUUGGAUGGACCUGCGGUGCAUUAGCUAGUUGGUAGGGUAACGGCCUACCAAGGCGAUGAUGCAUAGCCGAGUUGAGAGACUGAUCGGCCACAUUGGGACUGAGACACGGCCCAAACUCCUACGGGAGGCAGCAGAC